rnacentral:rRNA from 1 species
GACGAACGCUGGCGGCGUGCUUAACACAUGCAAGUCGAACGGAAAGGCCCUGCUUUUGUGGGGUGCUCGAGUGGCGAACGGGUGAGUAACACGUGAGUAACCUGCCCUUGAUUUUGGGAUAACUUCAGGAAACUGGGGCUAAUAUCGGAUAGGAGCCCCUGCUGCAUGGUGGGGGUUGGAAAGUUUCGGCGGUUGGGGAUGGACGCGCGGCUUAUCAGCUUGUUGGUGGGGUAGUGGCUUACCAAGGCUUUGACGGGUAGCCGGCCUGAGAGGGUGACCGGCCACAUUGGGACUGAGAUACGGCGCAGACUCCUACGGGAGGCAGCGGUGGGGAAUAUUGCACAAUGGGCGGAAGCCUGAUGCGGCAGCGCUGGGUGCGGAAUGACGGCCUUCGGGUUGUAAACCGCUUUCGGCUGUGACGAAGCGUGAGUGACGGUAAUGAGUAAAGAAGCACCGGCUAACUACGUG